CUCACGGGGGUGGUGGUGGGCUCCGGUCGGCGCCCUCCGGGGCCGAUCCCCGACAGGCCGCAGCUGCCGCCGGCGUCUUUCCCACACCAAAGCGGAGCCGCAACGGGAGCGGCGCGGAGUGAGACCCUUUCCUCCGCGUCCGACUCCCGGCUCCGUGGGUACCCGGCCAGCGCGACGGUCCGGCGUCGUCUCUCCUCUCCGGGGGAGGGGUGUGCCGCCUGUUCGCAGGGGGGCGCAGGCCCGGGACUUGCCAUACGACGCCGUCGCGCAAAUCUGUUGUUGGCCUCACCGGCUCUGCUUGGGCUCUCGGUUGGCGGUCCGCGCGUCAGGCUGCUGCUGGGGACUUUAGGGCGGGUUCGUCCCGUCCGGGUCCUCGUCUCAGCCCCGCGCGGUUGUCUGCCCUCCGAUCCUGCUCUGUCNGGAGUGGCAUAGCGCGCGUGCU
rnacentral:rRNA from 1 species